rnacentral:rRNA from 1 species
UACAGAGGUCUCAAGCGUUGUUCGGAUUCAUUGGGCGUAAAGGGCGCGUAGGCGGCGGGGUAAGUCGGGUGUGAAAUCUCAGGGCUCAACCCUGAAACUGCACUCGAUACUGCUCUGCUUGAGGACUGGAGAGGAGACUGGAAUUCACGGUGUAGCAGUGAAAUGCGUAGAUAUCGUGAGGAAGACCAGUGGCGAAGGCGGGGUCUCUGGACAGUUCCUGG